CAGCCGCCGCGGUAAUACGAAGGGUGCAAGCGUUAAUCGGAAUUACUGGGCGUAAAGCGUGCGUAGGCGGUGAGUUAAGUCUGCUGUGAAAUCCCCGGGCUCAACCUGGGAAUGGCAGUGGAUACUGGCUCGCUAGAGUGUGUCAGAGGAUGGUGGAAUUCCCGGUGUAGCGGUGAAAUGCGUAGAGAUCGGGAGGAACAUCAGUGGCGAAGGCGGCCAUCUGGGACAACACUGACGCUGAGGCACGAAAGCGUGGGGAGCAAACAGGAUUAGAUACCCCAGUAGUCCCUGUCUCUUAUAC
rnacentral:rRNA from 1 species